ensembl:snoRNA small nucleolar RNA SNORA17
CCUGUGCCUAAAGGUGUUGCAAGUGUGUCUGCUGUGUCACAUGUGCAUCAGUAGGUGACAGAGAGAAGAGAAGCUAUGUCUAUGCUCAGUGUUCUGACCCGAAAACAUCUGAAUGAUUAAUAGACUAGCAUU